GCUUGAUCAAAGUCAACACUCAGAGCUCCAUACUACACAGCUUUCCUGUUUAGAAAUUCUCCAAAACAUCUUGGUGUUGAUUUUGUCUGGCAGAAAUUGUUUUAGCAAUGCUUUCUCACAAUGAAGGUAGCUGCCAGAGCUCCUACCAAGGUAUCAUAGGCAAGGGAAGAACAUUUAUGGAAGCGCUGGACUUUGAAGGUUGACUCUGGCACAGUUAUGUUAAUUCUAAAAGAAAAUCUGAAGUUCUCUCACCCAGAUCAACAGCAUUUUUAGAAAUAAACCAAGAUGUCUGAUGAGAUGCAAUCAAUCUGUUGUGAGCAAUGAGCAAAAAAAUCUCUCUGAUGGAGAGGAGGGAAGCCCUGUAAAGCAAUUACCAGAUAGUUGGUUGGUCUUUGCUGACCUCUGCUCAGCUCUGAAAAGAUUUGUCUUUAGAAGCAAAGGGAAAAAAUCCAUCUUGGGAAAUGAACAUGCACGUGUCCAAAGAAAAAUGGGACGACUUCAGUUCUGUAGAAAAACUGAACCUCAGAGAAUGACUAUUUUGGAAGAAUCUCGGAUAAAACUUCAAACUCUUUGUUCAAGUGUCUCUACUGUAAGUGGAUUCGUGCACCUUCCCUGGAAUGAAAUAAGGUCUUCUGAAAAUGUUCCAUCUGGAAGGAAGCAGGAAAGACUCAUUUUGUAUAGCAUUUGACUUGGACCACAUUGAAGGGAAAGACUCAGGAGCAGCAGCAGAUGCAGGAGCAUUAAUAAAUUGCUAAUCUGUCCUCAUUAACAAAGAAGUCCUUCCAGAGUGGAUAUUAAGACAAAGAGCAUUUGGCAUUUGUGCAGACUUAAGUGAACAUCUGUUUUUCUGAUGUCGGAAGAUUCAUUGUGCGAUAAUGGAAGCAAAGCCUCAAAGGAAAAUCCUUUUGCUGAUAAAAUGAAGAUUCCCCCGUAUCCAAACAUGCCAAAAUCCCAAGACUUUUAUCCUGUAAGAAAUGAAUGAAGAAAACAUCUCCCCUUGAAAAUGUGACAGUUGUCUGUGCUCUCGUCUAGAAAGGAGGUUACAAACAUUUAAUGCAAAGGCUGUGUGCCUGAUUUAUCAUCUGCUGAAUUCAAGGGCAAAUAUGUGAUUUUGUUCAUUAUAGUACCUUUCGUCUGUUCAGCUCAAUCACAUCAGAACAUUCAAAAGCUCUGUAGCUGUGUCUUUUCCUUUUGAGAAUAAAAAGCUAUUAUGAGAAAAGUUGUUAUGUUGAAAAACUGGUACUAAUGGAAUUAAAUGUCCGGGUUAACCUUAGUAGAAAUGUUUUCAUUGAGAUAACUCAAUUUAAUAUGACAUAAUAGAAUUUUGUAGUAUAUGUUAAAACCCAAAUGAAGAUGUGUAAAAGUAAAGAAUGAAAGUCCCUUAGAGAAACCUGCUUAAAGCUGAUUGUUUGAAAUUGCAAUAACCUUAUAACCCCUUGUUCCUGUGAUGAGAUAAUGAUACAAUUCUGAAGCAGGUGACUUAGUGAUGUAUGCUGCACUCAGAUCCUUCCUACCUGGUGAGAUUUAUUGAAAGCUGACUGCUGAACUCUGUUCUAUGCCUCAUGCUAUCUAUCUGUCUUGGAGAUGUUGAAUGCUAUAAUUACAUUUUGCUUCAUUUCCUGUAUAAUGUAUGUGAAAACUCUUCCAUGGUAGGAAAGUACAAAGUCCAGAUAACAAGACCAUGACAAUGUAUAUGAUUUGAUGGUUGUUGAGAUUGCAGCUCGAACUGCCCAUGACUCAACUACUUCCAAGGUCAACCAACACAAGUGAGCUCAAGCAGCACGGCACUUUGGAGGCUGUGUAAAACAAAAAUGCUUUGCUAUGUUUAAUCAACAUCAAUCUUAACGCCAUUAUACCUAUAAAUUGAGGUGUGUCUAAGGGUCGAGAAAGGAGAAAUGGUGAAUCUGGUUGGGUUACAAUGACGUUUAGCCUGUAGCAUGCUGCCUUUGUGUAGAGAUACUAAGAAUGGUUUUGUGCCAGGGUAUAAUGUUCUGAAGUCUCCAAAGCUUUGGUAUUUUGUUUUAUUAUGCUUUCCAAGUUUCCUUUUUGGCAGCGAUACUAGGUGUAUGUAUACGUCAGUUUUUUUAAGUAAUAUAUUUCUUAAUGCCACAUGUGAUUUAUUUUUUUUUUUUCCUUAGAAAACUUUUCUAAAUAAAUCAUUAUGCUACCAGUUCCUCUCAUCACCAGCCAGGUCUAAAUUACAUCUAGAGAUAAUAAGCUAGAUUUGUUUCCCAGGCAAAGGAUGUUUUAUGUCUUCAUUAUGUACCGUUGAGAUGGUUUGUGGACUUGGCAUAGGUAGAGUUUCUGAAUCCAGGCUUAAUGUCACGAAGUCUGUAUAUUCUGGCUGCCUUUCCUUGUAUUUUCACCAUAUGCUUCAUUUGCUGAGAAACAGAAAUGGGCCACAAGGCUAUUACAAAUGAGCAUGUUGGCCACUGAAA